rnacentral:rRNA from 1 species
UCGAGAAUUUUUCACAAUGGGCGAAAGCCUGAUGGAGCGACGCCGCGUGGGGGAUGAAUGGCUUCGGCCCGUAAACCCCUGUCAUUCGCGAGCAAUGCCUUCCCGAUAACACCGGGACGGUUGAUCGUAGCGAAAGAGGAAGGGACGGCUAACUCUGUGCCAGCAGCCGCGGUAAUACAGAGGUCCCAAGCGGUGUUCGGAUUCACUGGGCGUAAAGGGUGCGUAGGUGGUGAGGUAAGUUCGGUGUGAAAUCUCCGGGCUCAACCCGGAAAAGGCAUUGAAUACUAUCGUGCUAGAGGUUUGGAGGGGGGACUGGAAUUCUCGGUGUAGCAGUGAAAUGCGUAGAUAUCGAGAGGAACACCGGUGGCGAAGGCGAGUCCCUGGACAACACCUGACACUGAGGCACGAAAGCUAGGGGAGCAAACA